rnacentral:rRNA from 1 species
AUUGAACGCUGGCGGCAUGCUUUACACAUGCAAGUCGAACGGUAACAGGCCUUCGGGCGCUGACGAGUGGCGAACGGGUGAGUAAUGCAUCGGAACGUGCCCAGUCGUGGGGGAUAACGCAGCGAAAGCUGUGCUAAUACCGCAUACGAUCUAUGGAUGAAAGCGGGGGACCGUAAGGCCUCGCGCGAUUGGAGCGGCCGAUGUCAGAUUAGGUAGUUGGUGGGGUAAAGGCUCACCAAGCCAACGAUCUGUAGCUGGUCUGAGAGGACGACCAGCAACACUGGAACUGAGACACGGUCCAGACUCCUACGGGAGGCAGCAGUGGGGAAUUUUGGACAAUGGGCGCAAGCCUGAUCCAGCAAUGCCGCGUGCAGGAAGAAGGCCUUCGGGUUGUAAACUGCUUUUGUACGGAACGAAACGGCGAGCUCUAAUACAGUUUGCUAAUGACGGUACCGUAAGAAUAAGCACCGGCUAACUACGUGCCAGCCGCCGCCGUAA